GACGAACGCUGGCGGCGUGCUUAACACAUGCAAGUCGAACGGAAAGGCCCUGCUUUUGUGGGGUGCUCGAGUGGCGAACGGGUGAGUAACACGUGAGUAACCUGCCCUUGACUUUGGGAUAACUUCAGGAAACUGGGGCUAAUACCGGAUAGGAGCUCCUGCUGCAUGGUGGGGGUUGGAAAGUUUCGGCGGUUGGGGAUGGACUCGCGGCUUAUCAGCUUGUUGGUGGGGUAGUGGCUUACCAAGGCUUUGACGGGUAGCCGGCCUGAGAGGGUGACCGGCCACGUUGGGACUGAGAUACGGACCAGACUCGUACGGGAGGCAGCAGUGGGGAAUAUUGCACAAUGGGCGGAAGCCUGAUGCAGCAACGCCGCGUGCGGGAUGACGGCCUUCGGGUUGUAAACCGCUUUCGCCUGUGACGAAGCGUGAGUGACGGUAAUGGGUAAAGAAGCACCGGCUAACUACGUG
rnacentral:rRNA from 1 species